rnacentral:rRNA from 1 species
GUGUCAGCCGCCGCGGUAAUACGGAGGGGGCCAGCGUUGUUCGGAAUUAUUGGGCGUAAAGGGCGCGUAGGCGGUCCGGCAAGUCAGUUGUGAAAUCCCCUGGCUCACCCAGGGAACUGCUUCUGAAACUGCCAGACUUGAGUCCGGGAGAGGAGAGUGGAAUUCCCAGUGUAGCGGUGGAAUGCGUAGAUAUUGGGAGGAACACCGGUGGCGAAGGCGGCUCUCUGGACCGGUACUGACGCUGAGGCGCGAAAGCUAGGGGAGCAAACAGGAUUAGAUACCCCCGUAGUCC